AACGAACGCUGGCGGCGUGCCUAACACAUGCAAGUCGAACGAGAAGACCCGCAAGGGUUUGUAAAGUGGCGGACGGGUGAGUAACACGUAGGUAAUCUACCUUUUAGUGGGGAAUACCGUUCCGAAAGGAACGUUAAUACCGCAUGUGGACCCUUUCCGAUGGGAGAGUGUCUAAAGGGGGCGUAGCAAUACGCUUUCGCUAAUCGAGGAGCCUGCGUCCCAUUAGCUAGUUGGUGAGGUAACGGCUCACCAAGGCGACGAUGGGUAACUGGUCUGAGAGGACGACCAGUCACACUGGAACUGACACACGGUCCAGACUCCUACGGGAGGCAGCAGUGGGGAAUAUUGCGCAAUGGAGGAAACUCUGACGCAGCGACGCCGCGUGGGUGAUGAAGGCC
rnacentral:rRNA from 1 species